GCGCUUGGCGGCAGGCUAACACAUGCAAGUCGAGCGCGCCUUCGGGCGAGCGGCGGACGGGUUAGUAACGCGAACGUGCCCAGAUCUACGGAAUAGCCACUGGAAACGGUGAGUAAUACCGUAUACGCCCUUCGGGGGAAAGAUUUAUCGGAUUUGGAUCGGCCCGCGUUAGAUUAGGUAGUUGGUGGGGUAACGGCCUACCAAGCCUACGAUCUAUAGCUGGUUUUAGAGGAUGAUCAGCAACACUGGGACUGAGACACGGCCCAGACUCCUACGGGAGGCAGCAGUGGGGAAUCUUGGACAAUGGGGGCAACCCUGAUCUAGCCAUGCCGCGUGAGUGAAGAAGGCCCUAGGGUCGUAAAACUCUUUCGCCUGUGAUGAUAAUGACAGUAGCAGGUAAAGAAACCCCGGACUAACUCCGAUGCCAGACAGCCGACGGUAACUACAGGAGCGGGAGUUAGGCGUUAGUUCGGCAAUUACUGGGACGUAAAGCGCACGUAGGCGGAUUAACAAGUUAGAGGUGCAAUCCGGAGAUCAAACCCAGGAACUGCCUCCACCAAUGCUAGUCUA
rnacentral:rRNA from 1 species